GCCAAAACAAGCCUAAUUGAAUGCAUUGUUUAAAGGAAGCCCUUUUGCUUCUAACUUCAAUGUACAAAAAAAGCAAGCAGCCGUGAAGCCUGGUAUGUUCUAGGACUUCAACAUGCAAUAUGGAACUACGUAUGGUCCAGUCUCAGAG